CGAAGAUAAAGCCUUGAUUUUGUUAAAUUUAUUACCUGAGGCGUAUGAUCAUUUAGCUAUUACUUUAAUUUAUGGUAAAGACACCAUAAAUUUUAAAGAUGUGUCUAAUGCAUUGAUGAACCAUGAAGUUGGAUAUAAUGAUAAGUAAGUCCAGAAUACAGCAUUAGAUGCUUUGUUUGUUAGAGGCAAAAUGAAUGAAAGACGAAGAUUCGAUAACAGAAGAAAAUCUUAGUCUCGACCACGAGGUAAUUCACAAAUAGAAAAAAUAUUAGACAAAAAUGAAUGUGCAUUUUGUCAUACAAAGGGACAUUGGAUAAAAGAUUGCCCUAAGUUGCAGAAGAAUAACAGAAACAUCAAUGCUAAUGUUGCACUAAGUGAUGAGGAAUCUGAUUAUGCUUUGGUUGUUACUUCUGCUUGUGAUUAUGAGGUAUGAAUUUUGGAUUUUGGUUGUUCUCAUCAUAUGUGUCCAAAUCGAGAUUGGUUUACUAAUCUAGAAGUUGUAAAGGUGGGAACUGUUUUAUUGGGUAAUGAUUAUGCAUGUGAUAAAAAAGGAGUAGGAACAAUUAAGUUGAAACACCAUGAUGGCAUCGUUAGAAAGUUGUCUAAUGUGUGGUAUGUUCCUGCUUUGAAGAAAAAUUUAAUUUCUUUAGGUGCCUGGGAAAGCAAUGGGUUUAAUGUAAAUAUGUCAGAUAGUGUUCUGAAAGUUAUUAAAGGUGCUUUGGGUACGAUGAAGGGAAUUCGAAAGCAGAAUAUAUAUUUCCUGCAGGGGAAAACAGUUUUAGGUGGUGCAACCACAAUUUCUGAAAAACCAAAUACUGACAGCACCAAGUUAUGGCAUAUGAGACUUGGACAUGCUGGUGAAAAAACUCUUCAAGCUCUUGUGAAACAGAGACUGCUGAAAGGAGCCAAUACUUGCAAGCUCAACUUCUGUGAGCAUUGUUUCUUGGGUAAGCAAACCAGAGUUAAAUUUGGUAUUGUUGUGCAUCAAACUAAAGAAAUCCUAGAUUAUGUGCAUUCAGGUGUUUGGAGUCCUACCAAGUAUCAUUGAGUGGUAAGUACUGGUUUGUAACUUUUGUUGAUGACUACUCUAGAAGAGCUUGGGUUUAUACAAUGAAACACAAAGAUGAGGUGUUAAAUAUUUUCUUAAACUGGAAGAAAAUGGUUGAAAAUAAACUGGUAAGAAAAUUAAAGUUUUGAGGUCAGAUAAUGGUGGUGAAUACACCUCUGAUCCAUCUUUUAAAGUUUGUAGAGAAGAAGGUAUAAUAAGGCAUUUCACUGUUCGUGGUACUUCCCAACAAAAUGGAGUUGCUGAAAGGUUGAACAUAACGUUACUUGAAAAGGUUAGAUGUAUGUUGGCUUAAUUUGGUUUAAGGCAUUUUAGGUAGAGGCAAUUACAUAUGCUUGUCACAUUAUCAAUUGUUUACCUUCAUUUGCAAUUGAAGGUAAAACACCUAUUGAGAAGUGGAUUGGAAAACGAGCUUUUGAUUAUGAUUUUCUUUAUAUAUUUGGUUGUCCUGUUUAUUUCCAUGUGACUCAAAGUAACCUUGAUUCAAGAGCCAAGAAGGCUAUUUUUGUGGGCUUUAACAACGAUGUCAAAGGUUACCAUUUGUAGUGUCCAGAUUUGAAGAAACUUGUAAUCAGCAAAGAUGUGACUUUUGACGAAACUUAUAUAUUACAAAGCAACUCAAAGACAAGUGUUAAUACAACUCAAGUUCCUAAGAGAAGUUUUUAGGAGGUGGAGUUUGAAAAGAUUGCUACCACUACUCCACUGCCUGUUUUGAUUGAACAAGAAGUAAAUGAAGGUCAAGAAGAUGAAGAUGUCUCUUCCUAGGAUAAAGAAGAGGCUCAUACCCAUCAGCCUCCAGUUAUAGAGUGCAUUACUACAAGCAAAUAAAUCCUAGAAAGUUAUAAGGAAGCUAUGAACAGCUUUGCAAAUACAGAGUGGGGUAAGGCUAUGGAUGAAGAAAUGAAUUCUCUUGUGAAGAACAACACUUGAGAGUUAGUUCAAAGGCCUCCCAGAAAGAGAGUUAUUGGCUGCAAGUAGGUAUAUACUAAAAAACAAGGUCGUCCAAGAGAAGACAAUGUAAGAUUCAAAGCAUAAGUGGUAGCAAAAGGAUAUGCACAUAAGGAAGGUAUUGAUUAUAAUGAAGUAUUUUCUCCUAUUGUGAAGUAUUCAUCUAUUCGUAUUAUGUUAGCCUUGUUGCACAAUUUGAUCUUGAACUAGUGAAACUUGAUAUUAAGACGGCUUUCUUACAUGGAGAUCUUGAUGAAGAAAUUUACAUGUCUCAGCCUGAUGGGUAUCAUGUAACUGGAAAAGAGAAAUGAGUUUGUAAAUUGAAUAAGUCUUUGUAAGGAUUAAAGCAAUUUCCAAGACAGUGGUAUUUGAAGUUUGACGAAUUCAUGAGAGGUCAAUACUAUUUAAAAAGUCAAUAUGAUCUUUGCGUUUAUUUCAAAAAGUUGUAAAUGGGUAUUUCAUUUAUUUAUUAUUGUAUGUUGAUGAUAUGUUAAUUGCAUCGAAGAAUGUUUAGGAGAUUGAAAAGUUGAAAGCACAGAUGAACAAGUUUGAGAUGAAAGAUCUUGAUGAAGCGAAAAAGGUAUUCGAUAUGGAAAUUACUCGUAACUGAGAAAAAGGCUUGGUGUAUCUUACACAAAAGCAAUAUUUGUGUAAAUUGCUUCAAUGUUUUGGUAUUAAUUAAUGAUGCCACCAAACCUGUAACUACUCCAAUGGCUUUUCACUUUAAGUUGAGUGCUUGUUAUCUCCAAAAAACAAUGAAGAGAAGCUGCAGAUGAAGAAUAUUCCAUAUUCUAGUUUGGUUGGUGGCUUGAUGUAUAUUAUGGUAUGUUCUCGACCAGAUAUUGCUCAUGUCGUUGGUUUGGUUAGUCGCUAUAUACACAAUCCAGGAAAAGAACAUUGGCAAGCAGCUGAGUGGAUUCUAAGAUACCUACAUAGGACUAGAGAUGUUGGCUUAUGUUUUCAGCAAAGUGAUAGUAGUUUUGAGAAUUUUGUGGUUGGAUAUGUUGAUUCUAACUAUGCUGGUGAUUUGGAUAAAAGAAGAUCGACUACUGGCUACUUAUUUACCAUGGCUAAAGGGUCAUUUAGUUGAAGGUCCACACUACAAUCCACAGUCACUUUGUCAACAACGGAGGUCAAAUAUAUGGCUAUUGCAGAAGCUGUAAAGGAGGCCAUUUUGAUACAUGGACUGAUAAAGAAUCUAGGAAUUUAUCAAAAGCAGGUGAAUCUACAUUGUGAUAGUCAAAGUGCUAUUCACUUGUCAAAAUACCAAGUUUGUCAUUCGAGGACAAAGCAUAUCGAUGUUCGAUUUCAUUUUAUUUGUGAGAUUUUGUCCAAAAGAAAGAUUAUUCUUCAAAAAGUUCCAAUUGCGGACAACCCAGUUGAUAUGUUAACUAAAGCGCUCGGACCUGCCAAGUUUGAGCAUUGUUUGAACAUAGCUCAUAUACUAUGUGCCUAAAUAUGUUUGUGAUUAUGAAUCUCGCCAAGGUGGAGAUUGUUGACAUGUGGCUCGAUAUAAAUCUUGGUCAAUUACUUUGUAUUGGUUAUCAUUGUUUUUCUCUCCAUCACAAACUUGUUUAUGGCAUUACGUAUUAGAAGGCAAACCAUUUAUUUUGUAAUAAAAGGAGCUCACAUAGAAAUAAUUUGUGUGAGCCAAUUUGUGAGAUUCUUCUUUGUAUACAUUUGUUAUCUCAUUCAGUUAAUAAAUUGAGAGUUAUUUCUUU